GGAAAAAUGACAGAGCAACGGUGUUUAAAGUCCAGCCUUGUGAAAAAACAAUAAAAGAAGAGCAGAAGGAAGCAAUUGAUGAAAAGAUUCUUCUACCUAAGUCAGGAAAAAAUCACAGGAAAAGGAGAAAAUCAAUCGCUCCGUUACCCAAAGCAUGUGAAGUUCAAGGUUCUGAAUCAGCCGAUGGAUCCAGUUUUAUUGGAUUGGGUGCUUCUAAUAGCAGUCGGUAUGAUAGUUCCCUAAGUUUGCUGACAAAGAAGUUUCUCAAUUUGCUUUUGGAGGCUGGUGAUGGCACUCUUGAUCUGAA